GAUGAACGCUGGCGGCGUGCUUAACGCAUGCAAGUCGAACGGAAAGGCCCUAGCUUGCUGGGGUACUCGAGUGGCGAACGGGUGAGUAACACGUGGGUGAUCUGCCCUGCACUUUGGGAUAAGCUUGGGAAACUGGGUCUAAUACCGAAUAUGACCACUGCUUGGAUGUUGUGGUGGAAAGCUGUUGCGGUGUGGGAUGAGUCUGCGGCCUGUCAGCUUGUCGGUGGGGUAUUGGCCUACCAAGGCGGCGACGGGUAUCCUGCCUGAGAGGGUGUACCGACACGUUGGGACUGAGGUGCGGCCCAGACUCCUACGGGGGCAGCAGUGGGGAAUAUUGCACAAUGUGCGGAAGCCUGAUGCAGCGCCGCGGCGUGGGGGAUGAAGGCCUUCGGGUUGUAAACUCCUUUCGCUAUCGACGAAGCCACUUGUGGUGACGGUAGGUAGAUAAGAAGCACCGGCUAACUACGUGCCAGCCGCCGCCGUAA
rnacentral:rRNA from 1 species